AUGAAAUCCCGCUCCAAGGUGCCAGAAUACACAGUGAACUGUGCUUUUCAGAGCCAGAGAAAACUUUGGAACACAACAGCUUUUGAUUCCCCUCGUCCCAUUGGGCACGUUAAUUAUUUAAUAGCUGGCUCGUGCAUUUUCAGCGGUGAUCUAGGAGGAGGAGGAGAGGAGGGAAGCAGGCGUUUCUCUCUCUCGCACACGCAGACUGGUCUAGCAGUGUAUCUGUCCCCAGCAGGCAUGUUGUGCUUCUUGGAUGAAAUAGUAAGAGCUGUUUCUAUUUUAGCUGUAGGCCACUUUUGAGUUCUUGUCAGGGGAAAAGAAUGGGAUAUAAAUAAAUGUAAGUAUAGCAGCAGCAGCAGCAGCAGCAACAACAACAACAACAACAACAACAGUAAGGCCUGCCCUGCCAUCAUGAUUCAAGAACGUAAUUACAUACCAUGGACAAAUCCAGGUUGCAUGCUCCAUUUCUGCACCUUUGGUAUCUAGGAAGGUGUAUCACUGACAGUAGGAAUGUUCCACAUGAUCAAUUUUAUAUCUGAUGAAAUUGUUUCAUUGUUUUCAGAGACUGUAUGGACAGUUUUGUUGUUUGAGUUUGUUGUAAUGAUUUUAUUGUUUCUGUUGCUUGUAUCACUGUGUUUUAUUCUGUUUUUACCACGUACACCGCUAUGAAGGCUUUAUGCUGUGAAGUGGUCUAUAUAUUUGUUUUACAACAACCACCCGUUUAAUCCAUGCUGUCCAAAUACUACUCAGGCGAUGUUGCAGGGAAGUACAGUAGAAACCACACCAUGUUAGGAACGACAUGCAUCAGCCCACAAACAAUGCUCUUGCAUGGCGGCAGCGAGGAACGAGCAUCUUUCAGCAGCAACGAAACUGCCCGUGUCUCCCAUUUUGAAAAACUUGUCCUUUCACAGUAGAAAGGUGUGCAAUUAACAGCAUCAACUUAACAGUGUUGUAAAUCUCAGGCAGAAGAGCAAUCAGAUAAACAGAGGCUGAAGCUUAUACUGUGGUGUGUGUGUGUGUGUGCGCGCGCACAUGAGUGUGCAUUUCUAGGAUGAAUUAUACGCAAAAAUGAAAUUGCAGGAGUUGUCAGGGCAUGAAGGAUGCCCCCACGAUCCAACCUCAUUCACUCAGGAUAGGACAGGACGGGCUGCUGUGAGCAAUAUAGGGAUUUACACAUCUCAAAAUGAAGCUAAUAUAAAAAUCAAUUACUGAAACAUACCACAUGUCAACCCUGGGAUUGCUGUGGAGAAUGAACUAUUACUGCUCGCCGCACAGAUUGAUCGGGAGAGAGCGCUUCCUGCUCAUCAACCGCACGCCCCAUGAUUCCAAGAUUGGGGGAAGGUUUCAGGGGAAAGAACUGUGCAUCAGUCUGCAGGGGGGCUGAAACGCAGCUUGUUAAUAGUAUUCUCUCUGCUCCAGCUGACCUCACUUCCACAAGAAGGAAAUCACUGAUUCACAAGAAUUUUAGACAGCAUCAGGGUUGCACACAAAAGGGAAACUGGACCCAUCUGCAAUUAAAGCGUGUGCUGUGAUGGCAUUGAUCACUUUCAUUGAUUGAGGAGAAAGAAACACAAGAUGACCUGGAUGGUGGGGGGCAACUCCAGUACCCCCUUCUUCUUAUCCGGGCACCCCCAAAGCUCCCCCCCCCCGCUGACUUGUCAAAUUACUUGUCAAUUGCUGGUCUGGCCUCUAUUACGCCAGUGACCUGCACCAAGCACAGGGUUACUCUGCCUGCCUGCAGGAAUCCCUAAUGGGCUAUUAUACAACUAAAGGCAGAUUAAUAUUGAUAACUUGUCAAACUGUUUCUCAAAAGUUAAGUGUGUGGCUGUAAGAGUGUAAAAGAUAAGCAGGUAACAGAGAAUCCAGUGGCAUUAAAAAAAAGAGAGAGUCACAAAUACACAAAGCAUCAGAAUAGAUUUGCCUUUCAAUAGCAGCAGUGAGUGUAAAUGGAAGUUUUGCUGGGUGGGGGUGUUUGCAGAUGAGUCCUGGCUGCACACUCUGGGUGUAAUUCAUGGGCAGGUCAGUACUAGAGCUACAUAAAUAACAUGAUUUAUGUCCCCACUGACUGGCAGCAGCUCUCCAGGGUUUUCAGACAGGGUUCUCUUCCAGCCCUACUUGGAGAUGCCAGGUAUUCAACCUGGAGCCUUCUGCGUGCAAAGCAGAUGUUCUGCCACUGAGCUGCGGCCCUUACUAAACUGUAAAUCUAAACUCGGGAGCACAAAGGGAGUCUAGCCAGAAGCAAAUGUUUAUUGAAACGAAUGAGAGGGAAAGGUAAACAAUCAUGGGAAAAGAUGAAGAGCCCAUUCAGUUUUUCUUUUUAAAAAUUCUUUUAGCUCAAGGUAAUAUAAACUGUUAUUAGUCAAAGGUUGGAAUUAUUUAUUAAAUGCCUUUGCUCAUAACCCGAUAGCCUCUUUUAAUUGACUUUCACACAAACCGAACAUGUAAAACUUGUCUGCUGAGGCAGAACAGUGCAUGUUGGUUAUUUUUCUCUCCUUGUUACAAGACCCCCUCAGAACUCUCCCAAUAUAUACUCUAUAAUUAAAGAAAACAAACCAUUCUUUCUAUAACAUUUAUACUAGUGAGAAGAAAUUGUUUGUUGUUUAAGGGCUUUCCCUCCCUCCCUCCCUCCCCCCUUUUAAGCCCUCACACGCUGUUAACGUUCCAGAAUAUUUAAUUGUGCUGCAUUUAAAAUGUGAAAUAUUUUCAGGAAAUGAACCAAUUCUACCAAGGAAUGGCAGUUGCACAGAGACAUUUAUGCUACCCUAGGUAAUGGGAUGAGCACGUAGCUUCUCUCUCAACUCCAAAAACGCAGCCGUGGCUUGGACGCUUUAAAUCAAAAAGCAAUUUCAGUCUGUAAUGCUCAAAUAAAUAAUUAAGUACAUUCUA